UACGUAGGUGGCAAGCGUUGUCCGGAUUUAUUGGGCGUAAAGCGAGCGCAGGCGGUUCCUUAAGUCUGAUGUGAAAGCCCACGGCUCAACCGUGGAAGGUCAUUGGAAACUGGGGAACUUGAGUGCAGAUGAGGAGAGUGGAAUUCCAUGUGUAGCGGUGAAAUGCGUAGAUAUAUGGAGGAACACCAGUGGCGAAGGCGACUCUCUGGUCUGUAACUGACGCUGAGGCUCGAAAGCGUGGGGAGCAAACAGGAUUAGA
rnacentral:rRNA from 1 species